rnacentral:rRNA from 1 species
CCUACGGGGGGCUGCAGUGGGGGAUAUUGCACAAUGGAGGAAACUCUGAUGCAGCAACGCCGCGUGAGGGAAGAAGGUCUUCGGAUUGUAAACCUCUGUCCUCAGGGACGAUAAUGACGGUACCUGAGGAGGAAGCUCCGGCUAACUACGUGCCAGCAGCCGCGGUAAUACGUAGGGAGCAAGCGUUGUCCGGAUUUACUGGGUGUAAAGGGUGCGUAGGCGGCUCUGCAUGUCAGGUGUGAAAACUAUGUGCUUAUCUCAUAGAUUGCACUUGAAACUGUGGGGUUUGAGUGAAGUAGUGGUAGGCGGAAUUCCUGGUGUAGCGGUGAAAUGCAUAGAGAUCGGGAAGAACUGCAGCUGCGAAGGAGGCCUGUUGCGCUUUAACGGACUCUGAGGGACGAAAGUGUUGGUAGCAAACAGGAUUAGAUACCCCUGUAGUC